rnacentral:rRNA from 1 species
CAUACGGAUCCUACGGGAGGCAGCAGUGGGGAAUAUUGCACAAUGGGCGCAAGCCUGAUGCAGCCAUGCCGCGUGUAUGAAGAAGGCCUUCGGGUUGUAAAGUACUUUCAGCAGUGAGGAAGGUGGGUAUGUUAAUAGCAUACUCAUUUGACGUUAGCUGCAGAAGAAGCACCGGCUAACUCCGUGCCAGCAGCCGCGGUAAUACGGAGGGUGCGAGCGUUAAUCGGAAUUACUGGGCGUAAAGCGCAUGCAGGUGGUUUGUUAAGUCAGAUGUGAAAGCCCGGGGCUCAACCUCGGAAUUGCAUUUGAAACUGGCAAACUAGAGUACUGUAGAGGGGGUAGAAUUUCAGGUGUAGCGGUGAAAUGCGUAGAGAUCUGAAGGAAUACCGGUGGCGAAGGCGGCCCCCUGGACAGAUACUGACACUCAGAUGCGAAAGCGUGGGGAGCAAACAGGAUUAGAUACCCUGGUAG